AGAAAGUUAACCACUGAAAACUUCUUCACUUCAAAAAGUGCAGAUACAACAGAGCCGAAUCUCAAAGGGAGACAAGACCGUGUUCGCCAGGAGUUUAACAAGGCAUCCAUGUCAUACAGUCCAUCCAUGGCAUAAUUGUCAACACCUGCCAAGUGAGCCUUAUUGAGCUCAUUGAGCAUUUCAGCAGUAAGAGGAACAUCAUGCCGCUUCUUAACACGAGCCCGAUUCACAAGCUGUAAAAAUACCACAGAAUGCCUAAAAUACAUACUGCUAAGAGAAUCAGUACGGUACUCUGGCUGUCACAUACAAAGAUGAUGCCUCCACUUCCUUUUAGUAUGUGCAAGCUGACCGAGACUGUGUGAAGAAGUAUAUACUCACCACAGUUAUUCCAAAUAUAAGGAUGAAGAGAAGAGAGGCGAGUCCAAUGACAAUAACAGCAAUGAGCCACUGAGGAAUCAGAUAAUCAUCCUGUUCUUCGUGGAGGAUACGUGCUCGUUCAUGCAUAACUGUAAUAACAAAAGUACAUAAUAAUGUAAGGAAAUAAUUAUUUUUAUCAGUGCAAAAUUCAUUUCAAAUGAUACAGUGAAGCAUGUGUGUGGACACACAAUGUAAAAUAAAUAAAGCCACUAAUAUGCAAAAGUGUUUCAUGCUGAGGUCAGCUCAAGUUGACCUCAUUAAAUAUGGGGGUCAACUCAUAUUUAAAUAUGAUGAAAUAUAAAGUGAAGUUGAGUACAGAGGAUAACAUAAUCAGGCUAAUAAAUCAAUCAUUCUGGGAACUAAAAUGAAGCAUUAUUUAAAAGCAAACAAUGCAAUUUGUAUUAACUAUGGUAAAUAAAAUUAAUAAAAGAUAAUUGCUUCUAAACUAACUAUAACUACAGGUUUCUAUAUAAUAAAGAAUUCAGCUUAUGUUUUGAUACAUAAAAAAUAGCAAUACAGUACAGUACUAAAAUAUUAUUGCACCUGAUCUUUUGUUCUGCAUGAAACAUUAAGUACAUUAUAGGCUGAUAAUGUAUAAAUUAUUUAUACAUUUAUAAUGUAUAAAUUAUACAUUAUAAGUAGACACUCUAUUACUCCCUCAUCUAUCCUUAUCUCAACUGUGGUAUUUGUGCUUGGGGUUCUACUACC
rnacentral:lncRNA from 1 species